UGAAGCCUGAACUCGAGUAGGCCCCAAGCAAGGAAGGAAGGAGGCUGGCAGAGCUCCCUGCAGCAGACCCUCAGACCAUCCAGCACAGCUUUUGCAGCCUGAGCCAUCAUGAAUCAUCAAUACAUGAUAAUACCUGAGCAGCUUGUGGUGUGUGCAGAAUUAAGUGCUCCAAAACAAGCUCGACUCAGAGGCGCAGGAGAGGCGUGCUUUUCACCAAGAUGAACGUAGGCCAGAAAGGAAGUACCUUUUGAGAGGCCUCAUUCAGGCAAUGGACCAAGACUGAGAUAAAGCACCAUGUUGGCAGAGAGAAGCAGGAUUGGAG